CGGCGGACGGGUGAGUAAUGUCUGGGAAACUGCCCGAUGGAGGGGGAUAACUACUGGAAACGGUAGCUAAUACCGCAUAACGUCGCAAGACCAAAGAGGGGGACCUUCGGGCCUCUUGCCAUCGGAUGUGCCCAGAUGGGAUUAGCUAGUAGGUGGGGUAACGGCUCACCUAGGCGACGAUCCCUAGCUGGUCUGAGAGGAUGACCGGCCACACUGGGACUGAGACACGGCCCAG
rnacentral:rRNA from 1 species